rnacentral:rRNA from 1 species
GACGAACGCUGGCGGCGUGCUUAACACAUGCAAGUCGAACGGAAAGGCCCUGCUUUUGUGGGGUGCUCGAGUGGCGAACGGGUGAGUAACACGUGAGUAACCUGCCCUUGACUUUGGGAUAACUUCAGGAAACUGGGGCUAAUACCGGAUAGGAGCUCCUGCUGCAUGGUGGGGGUUGGAAAGUUUCGGCGGCUGGGGAUGGACUCGCGGCUUAUCAGCUUGUUGGUGGGGUAGUGGCUUACCAAGGCUUUGACGGGUAGCCGGCCUGAGAGGGUGACCGGCCACAUUGGGACUGAGAUACGGCCCAGACUCCACGGGAGGCAGCAGUGGGGAAUAUUGCACAAUGGGCGGAAGCCUGAUGCAGCAACGCCGCGUGCGGGAUGACGGCCUUCGGGUUGUAAACCGCUUUCGCCUGUGACGAAGCGUGAGUGACGGUAAUGGGUAAAGAAGCACCGGCUAACUACGUG